GAGCAAGCAGCGCUUGCCGUCGGCCGCAUGCAGCACGGUCGGUGUCGUGGUGGAGCUGCAAUGGAACAAGAUAUGAUUAAUCAAGGCCAUCAGUUUGUAUCCCCGCAUCACAGCACGUCAACAGCCCCGCGACAUUAACUGAUACAAACCGUUCAAUGGCAGACGCUACCGAGAUCAGAGCAAGCAGCGCUUGCCGUCGGCCGCAUGCAGCAUGGUCGGUGUCAUGGUGGAGCUGCAAUGGAACAUCGCCGGAGGUCGCCGCUGCUGUAAUGGAGCAUCACUUGGCUGAUGGUGCCGUGGUGGAGCUGCAAUGAAACAUCACUGGGGGUCGUCGCUGCUACGGUGGAGCGUCGCCGGACCGUCGAUCCGUGGUGCUGUGAUGAAGCAUUGUCGAACCGCCGACGUCAGCGGUGCUUCAUUGCAACCUCGCCGGAGCUUCCAACGACCGCCGCGACGCUUCACUGCAACCUCGCCGGAGCUCCAACAAUCGUCGUGGCGCUUCAUUGCAACCUCGCCGGAGCUUCAUUGCAACCUCGCCGGAGCUUCAUUGCAACCUCAGCCGUGCUCCAUGGUAGCACCCCGACAGCCACCGGCGAAGCUUCAUUGCAGCGUCACCACCACCACGCGGCCGUGCUCCAUCGCAGCACCGCUGCCCGCCUGCCCCGUCAAAGCUCCACCGCAACACCAGACUGGUGCCGCCGAAGCUUCACUGCAGCGCAACGCGAUGGCGUCGAGGUGCUGCGGCGAAUCAGGCGACCGCGAUGGCGGAUGUUGUGACACAACAGUGCGGCGAGCCGGCGACAGCGAUGCUGCGAUGCAGACGCGGUGGCGACAGAGCUCUCGAGGCCCGAUGUUGUGAUGCUCCUCUCCUCAACCUCCCCACUGCAGCAUGUGCGGCGAGUGGUGACCCGCCUCCAACACCAUCGUCUUCUGCAGCUCCGGUGGCCACACCGUACCGUCGCCCCCCUUUGGAGCAGCGAUGCCCCGCGAUGGAUCUCUCACAUGGGUCCUAGGAUUUGUGUUGGAGCUUCGCCGAAGGGAGAGAAGGUGAGCAGGAAGGUUGUUGACGCCGGCGACAUGGCUCCGGCGGUGGGUUGGACGGGAUUGAGGGGUGAGAGAGAGAGGGAGGAGAUGGAACAGAGAAGAGAUGGGGAUGAAGAGAAGCGCUCCAGGGAAGACCAGGUCCUUCGGCAAAGAGAUAAGAUGGAGGACGCGUGGGCAUGUGGGCCUGUGAGACACAUGGCGUGCUGUGAAGGAGGUUUACGAGAGAUAGAAAUCAUCCGGUUGAUUGUAAACGUUUUCCAGAAAAAAAAUCUACCGAAAACAUCGCGCACCAAACCGACGCAAAAACAGUGAAGAACACACGUCCUCCACCUUCUCCCGGACCCAAUCUGCAUCUCUUGGCAUCCGUCCUCGCUCGCACCCCCGCAUGGAGGGCUCACCCCGCCCCGCCGAAGGCCUCGUGCACGGCGGACACCUUGGCGAUCGAGCUUGCGGGGGCGGCGCCUCGGGGACGGCCCGGUCAUGCGCGGCAACGGCGCCGGCGGCGGGGGGUAGCGGGCCACGCAGCAAUCCAUCUGGUGGAGAAAAAUUCACUGGACAUGACCAUUGCAGGAAAGUCAUGGGUGUUCGGAACACAAAGAAGUUCUAAAUAUUGCAAGUUGAAGUUUUAUCUAUGCUGCUCGGUAUUUUCGUUUUCAAUUAACACUCUACGAAUGAUAUUUGAUGCUUAUUUAAAUAACUGACAUGUAUGUACUAUGACAUUCCCUUAGCUCGUGCUCUUGGUUUUUCUCUAAAUCAAUGUUUAAGUCAA